UGGGGGUGAGCAGGACCCCCGGGAGUUUCCCUCCGAGACGGUGCCCCGUCCAAACCUGU
rnacentral:ncRNA from 1 species